rnacentral:lncRNA from 1 species
CCCACGAUGGGAAGAGGGGAAAGCCCAGGGGUACAGGAGGCCUCUGGGUGAAGGCAGAGGCUAACAUGGGGUUCGGAGCGACCUUGGCCGUUGGCCUGACCAUCUUUGUGCUGUCUGUCGUCACUAUCAUCAUCUGCUUCACCUGCUCCUGCUGCUGCCUUUACAAGACGUGCCGCCGACCACGUCGUAAGCGUGCCCACCCUGCCCCACUGUGACCCCCUGGGGUGGUAAGGGAAGCUGACCAGGCCCUGCUUUGGCUAAGCUGGAGGGAUGGGUGGCAAGCCUGGCUCUCAAGACCUGGGGAGAUGGAGGAGGGUCCUGACUGGAAUUCUCUUUGCAGCGGUUGUCACCACCACCACAUCCACCACUGUGGUGCAUGCCCCUUAUCCUCAGCCUCCAAGUGUGCCGCCCAGCUACCCUGGACCAAGCUACCAGGGCUACCACACCAUGCCGCCUCAGCCAGGGAUGCCAGCAGCACCCUACCCAAUGCAGUACCCACCACCUUACCCAGCCCAGCCCAUGGGCCCACCGGCCUACCACGAGACCCUGGCUGGAGGAGCAGCCGCGCCCUACCCCGCCAGCCAGCCUCCUUACAACCCGGCCUACAUGGAUGCCCCGAAGGCGGCCCUCUGAGCAUUCCCUGGCCUCUCUGGCUGCCACUUGGUUAUGUUGUGUGUGUGCGUGAGUGGUGUGCAGGCGCGGUUCCUUACGCCCCAUGUGUGCUGUGUGUGUCCAGGCACGGUUCCUUACGCCCCAUGUGUGCUGUGUGUGUCCUGCCUGUAUAUGUGGCUUCCUCUGAUGCUGACAAGGUGGGGAACAAUCCUUGCCAGAGUGGGCUGGGACCAGACUUUGUUCUCUUCCUCACCUGAAAUUAUGCUUCCUAAAAUCUCAAGCCAAACUCAAAGAAUGGGGUGGUGGGGGGCACCCUGUGAGGUGGCCCCUGAGAGGUGGGGGCCUCUCCAGGGCACAUCU